rnacentral:rRNA from 1 species
CGUGAUUUGGGCUAUAUUACGGACCCAAAAUUACUUUUUCAAGCAUUGUUUUCGAAUAUUUUUCAUGCAUCAAAGCUCGUUAAGACUAGAUGGGGUAUCCCUACAUGGCGGGUGGGACCCACGGCGAACGGUUCAUCAAGACUUAAAAAAAGAAUAGAUACGAUUGCAUUGCAUAUACUAACGGAUGCGAUCAUACCAGCACUAAUGCACCGGAUCCCAUAAGAACUCCGCAGUUAAGCGUGCUUGGGCGAGAGUAGUACUAGGAUGGGUGACCUCCCGGGAAGUCCUCGUGUUGCAUCCCUCUUUUUUUUUUUUUUUUUUGGUUAAAACUUUAUGACUCUAUAACUUCUAUACCGUGAGGCCAAACUUGGCAUGUGAUACCUUUUCGGAAAGCCCAAAGAGAGCCCUCCGACGAAAGAAGCAAGACAAUGGAACUUUUCCAUUGACUUUUUGUCGACUCCAAAUUUUGACCUUUACCUACUUUUUCGGGAAUCA